rnacentral:rRNA from 1 species
UGGUUCCCUCCGAAGUUUCCCUCAGGAUAGCUGGGACAGAGAAUUACACCCGGUAAAGCCAAUGAGUAGAGGUCAGGGAGACACGCGUCUUCUUCCUAUUAUCAAACUUUAAAUGGGUGUGUCGCCACUUGCUUGUUUGAAGUGGCGAACUCAAUCGAGUCCUUAGUGGGCCAGUUCGGGUAAGCUGAAUUGGCGAUGAGGGUUCAACCUG